rnacentral:rRNA from 1 species
GACGAACGCUGGCGGCGUGCCUAAUACAUGCAAGUAGAACGCACAGUUUAUACCGUAGCUUGCUACACCAUAGACUGUGAGUUGCGAACGGGUGAGUAACGCGUAGGUAACCUGCCUGGUAGCGGGGGAUAACUAUUGGAAACGAUAGCUAAUACCGCAUAAUAUUAAUUAUUGCAUGAUAAUUAAUUGAGAGGUGCAAUUGCACCACUACCAGAUGGACCUGCGUUGUAUUAGCUAGUAGGUGAGGUAACGGCUCACCUAGGCGACGAUACAUAGCCGACCUGAGAGGGUGAUCGGCCACACUGGGACUGAGACACGGCCCAGACUCCUACGGGAGGCAGCAGUAGGGAAUCUUCGGCAAUGGACGAAAGUCUGACCGAGCAACGCCGCGUGAGUGAAGAAGGUUUUCGGAUCGCAAAGCUCUGUUGUAAGAGAAGAACGGGUGUGAGAGUGGAAAGUUCACACUGUGACGGUAUCUUACCAGAAAGGGACGGCUAACUACGUG